rnacentral:rRNA from 1 species
GACGAACGCUGGCGGCGUGCCUAAUACAUGCAAGUCGAGCGCAGGAAACUGACGGAACUCUUCGGAGGGAAGGCAGCGGAAUGAGCGGCGGACGGGUGAGUAACACGUAAGGAACCUGCCUCAAGGAUUGGGAUAACUCCGAGAAAUCGGAGCUAAUACCGGAUAGUUCAUCGGACCGCAUGGUCCGUUGAUGAAAGGCGCUCCGGCGUCACCUUGAGAUGGCCUUGCGGUGCAUUAGCUAGUUGGUGGGGUAACGGCCCACCAAGGCGACGAUGCAUAGGCGACCUGAGAGGGUGAUCGGCCACCCUGGGACUGAGACACGGCCCAGACUCCUACGGGAGGCAGCAGUAGGGAAUCUUCCACAAUGGACGAAAGUCUGAUGGAGCAACGCCGCGUGAGUGAUGAAGGUUUUCGGAUCGUAAAACUCUGUUGUAAGGGAAGAACACGUACGAGAGGAAAUGCUCGUACCUUGACGGUACCUUACGAGAAAGCCACGGCUAACUACGUGCCAGCAGCCGCGGUAA